rnacentral:rRNA from 1 species
GACGAACGCUGGCGGCGUGCUUAACACAUGCAAGUCGAGCGGUAAGGCCCUUUCGGGGUACGACGAGCGGCGAACGGGUAGGAGUAACAACGUGGGUGGACCUCGCCCUCCAGCUCUGGGAGUAAGACCCGGGAAACCGUAGGGUCGUAAUAACUGGAGUAUGACUCCAUGACGCAUGUUGUGGGGUGGGAAAGACCUUG